rnacentral:rRNA from 1 species
AUGUCGACGGUGACCCGCGCCUACCUCGAUCAGAGGCUCGCCGCCGCCAACCGCUGCUCCAAAGAGGCUGCCAUGGCCGGAGCCAAGGCCGCGGCCGUCGCCUCCGUCGCGGCCGCAGUGCCCACCCUGGCGAGCGUGAGGAUGCUUCCGUGGGCGAGGGCGCACCUGAACCCAACCGGGCAGGCCCUCAUCAUCUCCACCGUCGCCGGGAUGGCCUACUUCAUCGUGGCCGAUAAGACCAUCCUCUCCAUGGCAAGGAAGCACUCCUUCGAGGACGCGCCGGACCACCUCAAGAACACCUCCUUCAACUAA